AACGAGGUGGCGAGCGUUAUCCGGAUUCAUUGGGCGUAAAGAGCUUGUAGGUGGCGGCGUAAGUUGGACGUGAAAUCGCCCGGCUCAACCGGGCGGGGGUCGUUCAAUACUGCGCGGCUGGAGGAGGUCAGAGGGAAGUGGAAUUCCUGGUGUAGCAGUGAAAUGCGUAGAUAUCAGGAGGAACACCCGUGGCGAAGGCGGCUUCCUGGGGGCCAUCCUGACACUGAGAAGCGAAAAGCUAGGGGGAGCGAAACGGGGAUUAGAA
rnacentral:rRNA from 1 species